ACUCCUACGGGAGGCAGCAGUGGGGAAUAUUGGACAAUGGGCGAAAGCCUGAUCCAGCAAUGCCGCGUGAGUGAUGAAGGCCUUAGGGUUGUAAAGCUCUUUUGCCAGGGAUGAUAAUGACAGUACCUGGAGAAUAAGCUCCGGCUAACUCCGUGCCAGCAGCCGCGGUAAU
rnacentral:rRNA from 1 species